GAUGAACGCUAGCGGCAGGCUUAAUACAUGCAAGUCGUGGGGCAGCAGGGUUGUAGCAAUACAAUCGCUGGCGACCGGCAAACGGGUGCGUAACACGUACGCAACCUUCCCGUUACUGUGGCAUAGCCAAGGGAAACUUGGAUUGAUACCACAUAUUAUAUUGAGGGGGCAUCCCUUUGAUAUCAAAGCUUCGGCGGCAACGGCAGGGCGUGCGGUUGAUUAGGUAGUUGGCGGGGUAACGGCACACCAAGCCUACGAUCAAUAGCUGAUGUGAGAGCAUGAUCAGCCACACGGGCACUGAGACACGGGCCCGACUCCUACGGGAGGCAGCAGUAAGGAAUAUUGGGUAAUGGACGAAAGUCUGACCCAGCCAUGCCGCGUGAAGGAUUAAGGUCCUCUGGAUUGUAAACUUCUUUUCUCUGGGGCGAAAACCAGCUAUUCUUAGCUAUUUGACAGUACCAGAGGAAUAAGCACCGGCUAACUCCGUGCCAGCAGCCGCGGUAAAAC
rnacentral:rRNA from 1 species